rnacentral:rRNA from 1 species
ACGGGAGGCAGCAGUGGGGAAUAUUGCACAAUGGGCGAAAGCCUGAUGCAGCGACGCCGCGUGAGUGAAGAAGUAUUUCGGUAUGUAAAGCUCUAUCAGCAGGGAAGAUAAUGACGGUACCUGACUAAGAAGCUCCGGCUAAAUACGUGCCAGCAGCCGCGGUAAUACGUAUGGAGCAAGCGUUAUCCGGAUUUACUGGGUGUAAAGGGAGCGUAGGUGGUUUGGCAAGUCAGAUGUGAAAGCCCGGGGCUUAACCCCGGUACUGCAUUUGAAACUGUCGAACUUGAGUGCAGGAGAGGUAAGCGGAAUUCCUAGUGUAGCGGUGAAAUGCGUAGAUAUUAGGAGGAACACCAGUGGCGAAGGCGGCUUACUGGACUGUAACUGACACUGAGGCUCGAAAGCGUGGGGAGCAAACAGGAUUAGAUACCCUGGUA